rnacentral:rRNA from 1 species
UAACAAGGUCUCCGUUGGUGAACCAGCGGAGGGAUCAUUAAAGAGUUUUUUUAAACUCCUAACCCUGUGAACAUACCUAUACGUUGCCUCGGCAGGCUUCACCUACCCUGUAGAAGACUACAUAGCGAGUCGGACGCCGGGGGUGGUGGUCCAAGGCCUGCCGGCGGCCCUUUAACUCUGUUUUUUUAUUUGAAUUCUGAGGCCCUAGUAAAAUAUGUUAAAACUUUCAACAACGGAUCUCUUGGCUCUGGCAUCGAUGAAGAACGCAGCGAAAUGCGAUACGUAAUGUGAAUUGCAGAAGUUAGUGAAUCAUCGAAUCUUUGAACGCACAUUGCGCCCGCCAGUAUUCUGGCGGGCAUGCCUGUUCGAGCGUCAUUUCAACCCCUUCAGCCUCUGUUGCUGAGUGUUGGGAGGCUACGCGUUAGCGUAUCUCCUUAAAUGUAGUGGCGGGGCUCGUUUAGCUCUAGACGUAGUAAAACAUUUUUAUCUCGCCUGUGAGUCAGACGGUCUCUGGCCAUAAAACCCCUAUUUCUUUAUAAAGGUUGACCUCGAAUCAGGUAGGGUUACCCGCUGAACUUAAGCAUAUCAAUAAGCGGAGGAA